rnacentral:rRNA from 1 species
UACGUAGGGUGCGAGCGUUAAUCGGAAUUACUGGGCGUAAAGCGUGCGCAGGCGGUUUUGUAAGCCAGAUGUGAAAGCCCCGGGCUCAACCUGGGAAUGCCAUUCGAGACUGCAUAGCUAGGGUGCGGAAGAGGGAAGCGGAAUUUCCGGUGUAGCGGUGAAAUGCGUAGAUAUUGGGAAGAACACCGGUGGCGAAGGCGGCCAUCUGGCCCGCAAUUGACGCUGAGGCACGAAAGCGUGGGGAGCAAACAGG